ACGGGAGGCAGCAGUGGGGAAUAUUGCACAAUGGGGGAAACCCUGAUGCAGCGACGCCGCGUGAGUGAAGAAGUAUUUCGGUAUGUAAAGCUCUAUCAGCAGGGAAGAAAAUGACGGUACCUGACUAAGAAGCCCCGGCUAACUACGUGCCAGCAGCCGCGGUAAUACAUAGGGGGCAAGCGUUAUCCGGAUUUACUGGGUGUAAAGGGAGCGUAGACGGUAAUGCAAGUCAGAAGUGAAAGCCCAGGGCUCAACCUUGGGACUGCUUUUGAAACUGUAAUACUAGAGUGCAGGAGAGGUAAGUGGAAUUCCUAGUGUAGCGGUGAAAUGCGUAGAUAUUAGGAGGAACACCAGUGGCGAAGGCGGCUUACUGGACUGUAACUGACGUUGAGGCUCGAAAGCGUGGGGAGCAAACAGGAUUAGAUACCCUGGUA
rnacentral:rRNA from 1 species